GAAAUCUUUAAGAUUAUGAAAAAAAUUAAGCUGCAUAAUGAUGAUAACAUAUGACUAACUAUGUGCAGUCACUUGGAGGCUGCUACAUUCUGCCAGUCCUGUGGAAUCUUUCUAGGUGAGUUUUGUGAAGUGAGCCAAGUUGGUUCCUCAGUCUCUGUGUCUAUGUUCCAGAGGUGGAGAAGCUUGCAUCCAUCUUAAGGUAUAGUGAU